AGUUAUGGGAGGGCAUGAGAUUGAAACAGACAUAUUUCUUCUCUCACCACUCUAAGAAUUAUUGAGAUAAGAAGUCACCCUAUCCUAACUAGAUCUGAUUGGCUCAGGGAAAGGGACAUGAUGACCUUGGCAAGGAGGGGUUUGCCACUUUUUGAGUUUUUGCAUUCUGGGUAUCUGCUGUGAAGUGUUACUGUAUGCACCUCCAACCCCCCUGCUCCCCAAUCCAGGAUGAGGUGCCUCAUACAACAUUUAUUCCAUUUACAAAAAGGACCGAUUUCUCCCUUCCUCAUCUCAGUCUGAAAAGCUAAAAAUAAAAUCAAAAUCCAGCUCUGGUUUUGGCCGCCAUCCCGUCCAGCCUCUGGCUGGGAGUACAGCUCCAACUUUCCAUGACUUCAGAACUUUUCCGAAGUUGAAGCAGCUGGAGUAGUGGAGGAGGAGGAAAAGAAAAGGGGAAAACCAGCCGUAAAGCGAUAGAGCAGAGAAUCCUCGUCUGACUCCAAAGCUACAGGAACUUCGCUUUUCCAUGGGCCCUCAGGCCCAGAGGUACUGAAAUGUCCCAGAUAUAGUAGGUUGGAUUUAAGGUUAACCAGUAAGAAGGCCUUCCUGAAACAGGACCUAGUAAAAGCAAGCAAGCAAAUAGGGAGCCAUCCCUACUCCUACACAGCUCCCACCGUGACUCAGCGCUCCCAUCCCUGGGAUGCCAGCCAGAAUUAUGCCUGGCUCCAAGAGAAGAGAUUCCAGCUUCCUCUCCCAGUCAGACAGAGGGAGGCACCCCUACUUCCUUUAUGUUCCCUCUUCCCCAAGAGAUUAAUAAAGUCUCCAAACUACCUCAUACCCUAGCCUGAGGAAAAAGAAGCCAGAAGCCAACAAACAGGACAGGAGGAAGGAAGAAAGAAAUACUGGCUAUUGAAAAUGUCACCCUCCAUCUCUGCAGGAUGACCCCAAACCUGAUCUAUGGAUAUUGGAAAGUCCUUCCUGUUGUCUACCCUAUAAAGUCUUUCACCUGCUAUACACUUUUUCUUAACCUAAGUGGAGAAAGAAUGGAGAAAAACAUCAGAGUUCAAGUUGAAGCAGUAAAGCAGUGACUUUGAAACUUUGGAACACUGGCAGCAAGCACACUUCCUCCUCUUAGCAGAUAAGUGAUGGUCUAUGGCUGUGGGAGAGAAUAUUUCUUGUCAAAUAUGGCAUAUGGGUUGGUUUGUUUUAUUGUACUAUAUUUCUUUCUUGCCAGAGUCCUGAGGGGAUAUGAGGAGGUAGAGGGAAGAGACAGGUGUUUUUCAAAAGCACCAGUAGUAUCAAUAAAAUAUUUAAAUUUUAAAAGACCAACUGCUCUUUAUUAUUAGCAAUUAAAUAUCACAUAAGCCAAUGAUAUGAAAUUACUGAUGAGGUAAUUAGCUAGUUCGAAUCACUGUUCUUUUAAAACCAAUAAUAUUGUUAAUGCUUUAACAACACAUUGUAUAGAAAAGUGUUACUAAGAAUGUCCUUGGUUAUCAUUUUCAUAUUUAAUGUAAAUAUUUUCAUAUUAAUAUAAUUUGAUAUUCAAUAGAGCUAUUUGUUCAUUUUAUGAUCCAUUAAUAAUAGUGCUUUUUGAAUCGUGGACUAGGUCCUAAAGUAUAAAGUGAUCUGAGCUCUCCACAAAGCAUUUGAGCAAGACAUUUAGUAUUUAACUACUUAAUAAAAAUAUGAAUAACUUUCUGUACUAUAUAGAACAAGGGGAAGAGUAAGAAAAAGUAAAGAAGGAAUUGUAGUUGGGUAGAAAGAGCACUAGACUUGGGAGUCAGUAAACUUUGAUAAAUAGUAUGACCCUGAACAUUUUCCCUCUUUGGGGCUCAGUUUCCUCAUCUGUAAAAUGAGAUGGCCAUAUUAGAUGAUCUCUAAGAUCCCUUCUGGCUCUAACAUUCUAGCAGAGCACAAGACUGCUGUGAGAUGUGGGCAUCUGAACCAGAAGCCAGCUUCUCCCUCCAGUUGUCCCAGACAGCUGUGCCUUGCUUUGACUCUAACACUGAGGUCUAUUGAAUUAAGGGUAAGGGUGGAGUUAAGGAAUGCUCAGAUAUAUUGCACAUUGAGGUCAGGUCCUUAUCCUACUAGGGCAGGAGAAGAAAUAUUCUGACUGAUUAGGAGAAAUCUGUGUACUAGAAAUGAGUGGGGAGGGGGGAAGUUUUCUUGUGAUUCUCUUGAAAUUUAAAUCCUUUACAUGCUUUAGGCUGAGGCACUGGAUAGGGAGGCCCAGAGAUAUGUGUGGACCAAUCCACCCCCCACAGUCCUUACAUCAGGAGUAGGGAUCAAGGAACCCUAAAGUGCUCACUGACACCUCCACAAUUUGAAUUUUCAAUUUAUUUUGAUUUGAACAAUCAGCUUUUGUUUCUGUUAAAGGGCAGAAGAGGAAGAAAGAUGGAGCCAGAGACAGAGAGGCAGAGAAACAUCACUUCCAAGUCAGGAUUCAGGACUGGUUUCUGGCCAAAGACAAAACUGGAUACAAAGAAUCUGUCUUUAUUUCUGCCAUGUAUGCACAAAUCCCUAGUUCAACGAAACAAACUCGGUGGCUUCACCAGCUUAGCACAAAUCUUGAUCAUCAUGCUGAAAGCAACAGUGAGAAGUAUGGGGAAAAAAAAAAAAAGGAUGAACUAUGGACUUGGAGAACAAAAGACCCAAAUUCAAACAUCUCAUCUUUUUUUAAUGUAGCUAUUCUAAGAAAGGUGCUUCAUCUG